rnacentral:rRNA from 1 species
AGGACGAACGCUGGCGGCGUGCUUAACACAUGCAAGUCGAGCGGUAGGGCCCUUCGGGGUACACGAGCGGCGAACGGGUGAGUAACACGUGGGUGACCUGCCCCCUACUCUGGGAUAAGCCUGGGAAACUGGGUCUAAUACCGGAUAUGACCUGCUGUCGCAUGAUGGUGGGUGGAAAGUUUGUUCUUAAUUGGACACUUCGGUGGGGGAUGGGCCCGCGGCCUAUCAGCUUGUUGGUGGGGUGGUGGCCUACCAAGGCGACGACGGGUA